rnacentral:rRNA from 1 species
CAGUAGCCGCGGGAAUACGAAGGGGGCUAGCGUUGUUCGGAAUUACUGGGCGUAAAGCGCACGUAGGCGGAUAUUUAAGUCAGGGGUGAAAUCCCGCAGCUCAACUGCGGAACUGCCUUUGAUACUGGGUAUCUUGAGUAUGGAAGAGGUUAGUGGAAUUGCGAGUGUAGAGGUGAAAUUCGUAGAUAUUCGCAGGAACACCAGUGGCGAAGGCGGCUAACUGGUCCAUAACUGACGCUGAGGUGCGAAAGCGUGGGGAGCAAACAGGAUUAGAUACCCCUGUAGUCCCUGUCUCUUAUAC